rnacentral:rRNA from 1 species
UACGUAGGGCGCAAGCGUUGUCCGGAAUUAUUGGGCGUAAAGAGCUCGUAGGCGGUUUGUCGCGUCUGCUGUGAAAUCCCGAGGCUCAACCUCGGGCUUGCAGUGGGUACGGGCAGACUAGAGGUGCGGUAGGGGAGACUGGAAUUCCGUGGUGAUAGCGGUGGAAUGCGCAGACUAGUCAGGAGGAACACCGGUGGCGA